UACGUAGGCAGCGAGCGUUGUUCGGAAUUACUGGGCGUAAAGGGCGCGUAGGCGGUCUGUUAAGUUCGGUGUGAAAGCCCCCGGCUCACCUGGGGAACUGCGCCGGAAACCGACAGACUCGAGUACCGGAGAGGAGGGUGGAAUUCCUGGUGUAGCGGUGAAAUGCGUAGAUAUCAGGAGGAACACCGGUGGCGAAGGCGGCCCUCUGGACGGAUACUGACGCUGAGGCGCGAAAGCGUGGGGAUCAAACAGG
rnacentral:rRNA from 1 species